rnacentral:rRNA from 1 species
UACGUAGGGUGCAAGCGUUGUCCGGAAUCAUUGGGCGUAAAGCGCGCGUAGGUGGCUUCGUAAGUCCGUUGUGAAAGUCAAAGGCUCAACCUUUGAAUGCCGAUGGAUACUGCGAAGCUAGAGUACGGAAGAGGCGAGUGGAAUUCCUGGUGUAGCGGUGGAAUGCGCAGAUAUCAGGAGGAACACCAAUGGCGAAGGCAGCUCGCUGGGACGUGACUGACGCUGAGACGCGAAAGCGUGGGGAGCAAACAGG